CCUACGGGAGGCAGCAGUGAGGAAUAUUGGUCAAUGGACGAGAGUCUGAACCAGCCAAGUAGCGUGAAGGAUGACUGCCCUAUGGGUUGUAAACUUCUUUUAUAAAGGAAUAAAACGAGGCACGUGUGCCUUUUUGCAUGUACUUUAUGACUAAGGAUCGGCUAACUCCGUGCCAGCAGCCGCGGUAAUACGGAGGAUCCGAGCGUUAUCCGGUUUUAUUGGGUUUAAAGGGUGCGUAGGCGGACUGUUAAGUCAGCGGUAAAAGUCCGGGGCUCAACCCCGGCGAGCCAUUGAAACUGGCAGUCUUGAGAUGUCGAGAGGUAUGCGGAAUGCGCAGUGUAGCGGUGAAAUGCUUAGAUAUUGCGCAGAACCCCGAUUGCGAAGGCAGCAUACCGGCGGCGAUCUGACGCUGAGGCACGAAAGCGUGGGUAUCGAACAGGAUUAGAUACCCGUGUAGUC
rnacentral:rRNA from 1 species